GAAAAUGGUGGGAGAAAGGUAAGUAUGGAUGAGCCCAUUGUUGAAUGCUUUCCCCCAAACCCCUCCUUCCAUGCGGUGUGGCAGACAGAAGAAAUAGGAAAGAAUGCUGCUGCUUUAUUGAGAAUUCAUUGCUGCUGCACAACCAGAGAGUAUGACCCUUUGUAUUCCCCAUCUCUCAAAUGUUGUGUGUUUUUGUGCUUUCUGUAUAUUGACUGCAACCUCAAAAACAAACUUUUCCCACUGAAAUAGUGUUUGAAGAGGUGUGUGUGUCUCCUGCCACACAGCUUUUCAUGAGGCACUAAUUGGGGAGAGUUGCAGUAUUUUCCUUUUGUGAGAAGCAGAUUGCUUAACUCAAAAGGGUGAGGUCCUCCUUUUAUUUCUCUAAACAUGUUGUGGGGAUGGUGACAAAAAAACAACACAGUUCACAGGAGCCAAAAGGCAACUUCACACCCUAAAUCCUGAUCUAAUUUAGAUUCCAGGAAGGGAGUCAUGACAAGGCAGCUUAUUAAAGUGACGAGGCAUGUAGGUUGUUUAACUCUGCAAAUAUCUGCCUGUAUGCAAAGAAGCUUGGAAGUUGUCUUGAAAAAAUACAGCUCACUUUCUAACCAACAUGCAAAAAGAGAGAGGGGACACUUUAAACAUAUUUAUUUGGAGUAAUAACAAUAAUAAUCUGCAAGCAAGUCAGUCCAGAGAGCUGUUGGCUUUGUGUAUAAAACUUGACUGUUGAAAAGACUCUCCCUUCUCUCUACCGCCCCUUUCCUGGAACCUAAAAGAGACCUUAUCAAAGUUUUUGCUAAGGCAUUCCAAAUACUAUUGUGCUGCAAAUCCUGUCUGAUCCGACCUUCAAAUAUUUAUGUAAACUGAAAUAUGUCUGGAAAGAACUCAAAGCAAAACAAAAUAUGCCAGACGAUCCCAUCCUGGUGGAGCCCUCCCUGCUCAUUGAUAUUCACGCUGAAACCUCUCCAACUGGUUCCCAACUGUUAUGGGGGCGGUUUUAUGAGUGAUAUCUGCUGAGUCUGUUCCUUUGAGUGCAUGGAUGGCCUUGCGCCCUGCUGCCAAGCAAUUUUUGUCUGGGCUUUUCAGCAGCGCUGAGCGGAAUUAGCAGCAAAAGCCACUGGAAAUACAUAGAAGUCUCCGAUUCAGGCCUGGUCUAUAACACACGGCAGAAUAAGAGUGUGCACUUCUGAGAUGGUAGGAGGGAUUGUACCACUGCAGGUGCUGGAUCACACAUAUAGCUCAUUGCCAGGGAUAAAAGAUCCUAGUUCAGCCCAUUGUGCUGAUUUCCUGUCUGCAGGUAAUUUUUAAGGAUGCAUUCAAAUAUAUGACCCACCACUUGCCAACUACCGACACAGACUUCUGCCAUAACACCUUCCCAACUCAAUCUGCAUGGAAGGCUGCAUUGUGGACCAACUCACAGCACCGACACCACCACAUCCCGGUGGGUGAAGGCCAAAGGCAAUAAGAGAUGUAAACAAACUGGACAAGACAACAUUCUGGGAUUUUAAAUUGGCUAACACUUUCAUUGAUUACAUAUGUAGGUAGGCUUUGAAUCAGGCAUUGGGUGUAUAUCUAUUUUCAGCCUCCGAAUGGAUGGCUGAAACUUAAGCAGGGGGAUGCCUGGGAUCUGGGGACUCCUCAAGACACAAGUCUACUGAGGUCCCCCUCCCCCAGCCACCGCUGGAAGCUCUACAGCCCACCUACCCCAAGCUUGACUUCUAGACAGAAACUUCCAUUUAGACCCCACUGUGGGUUAAACCACAGAGCCUAGGGCUUGCCGAUCAGAAGGUUGCGGUUCAAAUCCCCGCGAUGGGGUGAGCUCCCGUUGCUCUGUCCCUGCUCCUGCCAACCUAGCAGUUCAAAAGCACAUCAAAGUACAAGUAGAUAAAUAGGUACCACUCUGGCGGGAAGGUAAACGGCGUUUCCGUGAGCUGCUCUGGUUCGCCAGAAGCGGCUUAGUCAUGCUGGCCACAUGACCCGGAAGCUCCCUUGGCCAAUAAAGCGAGAUGAGCACCACAACCCCAGAGUCGUCCAUGACUGGACCUAAUGGUCAGGGGUCUCUUUACCUUUACCUUUAACUGGGCACCCUAAGGUCACACUUGCCUGUGGUAGGGAUGACGCACCACUUCACCCCAACCUGAUAUUAGACUAAAGGAUUGCACCCAAUACCUUAUCCACCAAAAGUUAUGGCUUUUUGCCAUGAGGAAGGCAAAACCUCCAAACAGGCCCAGUCGGUUUGCAGGCAACUACUCAAAACUUCUGCCACAUCAGCUUUCCAUCUCAAUCUGCAUUGAAGCCUGCUUUAACAUCUCCCCUGGAUUUGACAUAGGAAUCUGCCUUACACUGAGUCAAAUCACUGAUCUAUCUAGCUCAAUAUUGUCUUCACGGACUGGUAGUGUCUCUCCAGGAUUUUCAGAUCUCCAGACCUACCUGGAGAUGCUGGGGAAUGAACCUAGGACCUUCUGCAUGCAAAGCAGAUGCUCUAGUAUUGAGGUCCUCCCCUUGCAAUGGGUGGUUGGAUCUGGGUGCUACUUCAGUUCCCCACAAUGUCACGUCACUCUGGGGUGUUUUGGGAAAUCAAAGUGAUGUCUUGGUUUUAGGCACCUAAUGCUGAUCACAACGGCCCUCUCCCUUUGUACAGAAAGUUAUCUCCAAUUCUAGGGACGCGGGUGGCGCUGUGGGUUAAACUACAGAGCCUAGGACUUGCCGAUCAGAAGGUCGGAGGUUUGAAUCCCCACAAUGGGGUGAGCUCCCAUUGCUGGGUUCCAGCUCCUGCCAACCUAGCAGUUCGAAAGCUUGUCAAAGUGCAAGUAGACAAAUAGGUACUGCUCCGGUGGGAAGGUAAACGGUGUUUCUGUGAACUGUUCUGGUUCACCUGAAGCGACUUAGUCAUGCUGGCCACAUGACCCGGAAGCUGUAUGCCGACUCCCUCGGCCAAUAAAGCGAGAUGAGCGCUGCAACCCCAGAGUCGGCCACGACUGGACCUAAUGGUCAGGGGGCCUUUUACCUUUACCUUAUCUCCAAAUCUGACACUGUCAUCUCUUUGGAUUGCCUUUCAAGGUGUGCUACACCUUACAGAGGGUUGCUCCACAGUUAUUUAACUAAAGUGGGCAUACUCACUGAAGUGAACUUGUGUAAAUAGCUGUAUGUUUUGUUUGUAAUAAAAAAAAGAGAGCAGGGAAAGUUCCCAUUCCAAAUACUGGAUACGAGAGCUGAGCCAAGGGGGAAAGUCCAUCUGAAGAAAAAACGCAAACAAUUACGAACACCUGGCGAAAACAGAAAAUAAAUCAUUAAUGUGUAUACUAUGACUACCAAAAAGAAAAAGGGAGGGGGGAAUACUGGUGCGUAACGGCAAAAAAGAAGCCAUCUGCUCACCAAAGUAUGAAUCAAUCUGUCCAUGAAAUGUGGAAAAAGUAUCCCACCCAACUAUUAAGAGGCUAUAUCAGAGGAAAGCAAAAGUUUGUGCAGCUAACACAACAUGCAGCCUGCCAAAGUCAUCUUGCUCUAAUUCUCUUGUCAGCAAAAGCCACUUUAGAGGAGAAGUAUGAGCUCGCGAUCUGUUUACUUGAUGUCCACUCUCCUCCUGCACCACCACCACCCUCCACCCAAUCCCCCUUCUAGCAAUUUCAUCGUUCUAAUAUUCCUUGGGCUUCAUUCCAGUCGCUGAGCACUAAGAAAUCCCGCCGAGAACACAAUAAGCUAAAACAAAUCAGUGCAUGUGAACAGCCACAAAUGUCACAUUGCUUAUCUUGUGCCUUGGGACAUGAAGCAGCUGCUGCUGACUUUUAAGGAGGAAAGCAAAACAGAGCUCCAUUAGUAUUCCCCGGCAUACUUUGGCGUUUCAUGUAGCAGCUGAUUUUCCCUUUCGCAAUAGGGAAGAAACAGAACUGAUGUUUUUCCGUUCAGGAUGGUCCUACAUCCUUCCUGAAGCAGGAAGAGCAGGUGAAUGGGAUGCAAGACACGGUGCUUUUUUUCUGCCUUCAAUUAUCUGUUUUAUCCCAUGACUUUUAUGGAAACAAUAGCGGCCACAGAACUUGCCAGGCAAGGAAAUGAAGGUGAGGCCCUGGUGUGGACUUGAUUCUCAAUAGGAAGCCUAUAGACUGCCGCAAGCUCAUUGCUUUUCCAGUUGAUCUGCCUGCCACAUCCACCCCUCCAUUGUAAUUGGCAUUUUUUCUUAUAUUUACACCCUCUCUUUCCCCUCUAGGAAAGGUGGCAUGCCCUUUUUAUUCUCACAGCAACCCUCACAGCUAAGAGAGGGUGACUAGCUGAAGGUCACCUGGCUGAGUGGCUUUUGUGAUUUUAGUUUUUAAAGGGUGGCACAGGACUGUGCACUGGCUGCCAGAAAAAUUAUAGCAACUUUGGAAUGCCUUGCGAGUGUAACAUUAACGGUAGUUUAGUAACUUGCACUGAAAAUGACAGUUCAGGAAUGGCUGGUCUACCACGGGACUCUAGCUAAAUAUUAAACAGGAUAAUUGGUUUCUAGAAGAAGAAAAGGUUUUUCCAUUACUGCAUCCAGUACUGUUAAAAGAACAAACAAAGGGGAAUUCCAGUAGGUUUCGCAAAAUUCAGAUACGGCUGCAGUGGCAAAAUACUGAGAACUCUAUCACAAACCUUUUCAAUAGCAUUCAUAGCUUGUUUCUUACAGAGGCCACAUCCAAAGAUGUUGGGUAUGAGAAAAAACCAUAGUGACACAGACAUGGAAUGUGAAUGCAUAUUCCCUGAACACAGUGGGUACCCUGGCAUGACUAUGACAUACGUUUAUGUGCUUAUGCACAUAAAACUCAAUGAGUUGACAGUUUUCGUUUCUCCAAAAAGCAGAUCCAGUGUUGGCCUUCAUGCAUGGGAUAGCUGUUACAUAAGAACAUAAGAUGAGCCUGCUGAAUUAGGCUAAAGGGCUCAUCUAAUCCAGCAUCCUGGUCUCACAGUGGCCAACCAGUUGCCCCAAGGAACAACUGAGUGUGAGAGCAUGUUUAGUAUAAUUGUUUAAUUGUAUACAGAAAUGGAGAAUGCUUGUAUGUAUAUCUCUGAAGGGUUUAACAUUGGAAAAUUUCAUUGGAGUAUACUAAACUAGAAGAGAGAUCUCUGAGCUUCUAGCUGGGUUGAUAAUCAACUGUUGAUGUUCUCUGUUACCUUUCACACAAGUGUUUAACCUGAGAUCAUGUGAUUAAGGUAUUUCAAUGGCAAAUCUCCAUUUUGAAAAGGAGUUGCCUCUUGGCCUUUUGUUCCCAGGCACAGUGAGAGAAGGAUGUGAUAAUGAAGCCUCUCCAGGAGCUGAAUAGUCUUAGGCUGGAUGCAGGCUAUGGGGAGAGAGAGAGCUUUGAUUUUGCUCUGAUCAUAAUUAUGUUAUAUAUUUAAGAGGAACCUAUGCUUGGAUAAGGAUUUUCUUUGUGGAAUUAUUUGGAUGUAUUGUUUUUGUACCUGUUUUGAAGAGGUUCUGGUUAGUAAACCUUUAAAUCA